rnacentral:tmRNA from 1 species
GGGGCUGACUGGUUUUGACAGCAUGACAGUGUAAUUGUAAGCAUGCCGGGCGUUGGGGAAAGGCCCGUUAAAAACUGCCUCAAAGCCAAUAAAUGGCAACAACUACAACUAUGCACUUGCAGCUUAAUCGGGACUGAUUAAGCGGGGUGUGUCCUCCGGGAAGCCUUGCCUUUCGGCGUCCCGUCCAGGGCAUCGCAAAAGAGAGGCUGGCCAGGUUUAUGUCCCGUAAACUUGGUAAGAAAUUAGGGACUAAGAGGCCGGAUAGGUUAGCCCCUGGCUCGUCCGCCUCCGACAAUCUUUUCAGGGGAUAAGCAUGUAGAAAGCACUUAUGCUGCAUGUUUGGACCGGAGUUCGACUCUCCGCAGCUCCACUC